UUGAGUUUUUGUUUAUGUGUGGCAGUUGGCCUUCUCAAAUACAUACGUACUUUUGACAUUGGGGGGGAAGUGUUUCUUGUCAACAAAGUUACUUGAAAAAAGGUCACCUACGACUUGAAAAUUAAGGUAUAUAAGGAAUAUAUAUUAGGUUUGAUUCUUUUUUGUUUGUCAAGUAGGGGGAAUAUUAGGGUUUUGCAUACACGAGGC
rnacentral:lncRNA from 1 species